rnacentral:rRNA from 1 species
GUAGGGAAUAUUGUACAAUGGAGGAAACUCUGAUGCAGCGACGCCGCGUGAGUGAUGAAGGCCUUCGGGUCGUAAAGCUCUGUCGCAGGGGAAUAACACAAUGAAGGUACCCUGUAAGAAAGGAUCGGCUAACUUCGUGCCAGCAGCCGCGGUAAGACGAGGGAUCCUAGCGUUGUUCGGAAUCAUUGGGCGUAAAGCGGAUGUAGGUGGCUAUGUAAGUCAGAUGUGAAAGCCUGGGGCUCAACCCCAGAAGUGCAUUUGAUACUGCGUAGCUUGAGUGUCGGAGAGGUUACUAGAAUUGUUGGUGUAGUGGUGAAAUACGUAGAUAUCAACAGGAAUACCGGAGGCGAAGGCGGGUAACUGGCCGAACACUGACACUGAGAUCCGAAAGCGUGGGGAUCAAACAGGAUUAGAUACCCGUGUAGUCC